UACGUAGGUGGCAAGCGUUGUCCGGAUUUACUGGGCGUAAAGAGCGCGCAGGCGGUCGUUCAAGUCGCGUGUGAAAGCCCCCGGCUCAACUGGGGAGGGUCACGCGAUACUGAUCGACUCGAAGGCAGGAGAGGGUAGUGGAAUUCCCGGUGUAGUGGUGAAAUGCGUAGAUAUCGGGAGGAACACCAGUGGCGAAGGCGACUACC
rnacentral:rRNA from 1 species